rnacentral:rRNA from 1 species
UACGAAGGUCCCAAGCGUUAUCCGGAUUUAUUGGGUUUAAAGUGUGCGCAGGCGGCGCCGCAAGUCGAGUGUGAAAGCCCCGAGCUUAACUUGGGAAUUGCGCUCGAAACUAUGGUGCUGGAGUGUGGCAGAGGAAGGUGGAAUUCCACGUGUAGCGGUGAAAUGCGUAGAGAUGUGGAGGAACACCGAUGGCGAAGGCAGCCUUCUGGGCCAACACUGACGCUCAUGCACGAAAGCGUGGGGAGCAAACAGG